GGGGGUUUAGUUAAAUCAUAACUCUGCCUUGUCAAGACAAAAUUACUAGUUGAACCCUUGUAACCCUCU
rnacentral:tRNA from 1 species